CAGCAGCCGCGGGAAAACGAAGGGGGCUAGCGUUGUUCGGAUUUACUGGGCGUAAAGCGCACGUAGGCGGACUUUUAAGUCAGGGGUGAAAUCCCGGGGCUCAACCCCGGAACUGCCUUUGAUACUGGAAGUCUUGAGUAUGGAAGAGGUUAGUGGAAUUGCGAGUGUAGAGGUGAAAUUCGUAGAUAUUCGCAGGAACACCAGUGGCGAAGGCGGCUAACUGGUCCAUAACUGACGCUGAGGUGCGAAAGCGUGGGGAGCAAACAGGAUUAGAUACCCCCGUAGUCCCUGUCUCUUAUAC
rnacentral:rRNA from 1 species